AACCCAAGGACAUCACCAAACGUUGGGUUUCCUCCUUUGUGAUGCUUUGCCAGGCCUUGACUGCAGCUGUCUUCAGUUGUUGUUUGUUUGCAGGUCUUUCUGCCUUAAGUUUUGUCUUAAGCAAGUGGAAUGCAUGCUCAAUCGGAUUGAGAUCAGACUUGGAUAAUGAUACGCCUACUUCCUGGAGAGUCUUCACUAGAUGUUGUGAAAGGGUUCUUCUUUACCAUGGAAAGGAUCCUGCGAUCAUCAACCGCUGUUGUCUUCCGUGGACGUCCGGGCCUUUUUGUGUUGCCGAGUUCACCACCUAAGGAUGGCCUGUUUCACUUGCAUUGAGAGCUCCUUUGACCGCAUGUUGUGGAUUCACAGCAACAGCUUCCAAAUGAAAAUGCCACACCUGAAAUCAACUCCAGACCUUUUACCUGCUUAAUUGAUGAUGAAAUAACAAGGGAAUAGCCCACACCUGCUCAUGAAACAGCUUUUGAGUCAAUUGUCCAAUUACUUUAGGUCCCUUGAAAUGAGGGGACUAUGUAUGAAGAUUGCUGCAAUUCCUAAACCCUUCCUCCAAUUUUGAU